rnacentral:misc_RNA from 1 species
GAGUUAGGGAGAGAGAACUUGAAGAAAGAAUACCAGAUUCAACUAUGAGCUAAGAAGAUAAUACUUGAAGCAUGGAAGGCGGAAUAAAUGUUUCAACUGAAAUCACAAUUGGAUGCAGUAUUAAGAGUUAUUGAAUAUAUAGAAAUGAUGCAAGAGCUUGAAGCUACAGUUAAAGAGCGAUGUGAAGAACACAGAGCAACUUGAAGCUGAAAUUGGAGAACAAAAAGAGCAGCUUGAAGAACCUGAGCUUGAAGAUUUUGAAACUUUGAUUGUUGAGCCUUCACAUC